CGGUGGCCAACCGCUGAGCCCGCCGCUUUCGGCCCCGACCAAUGGGCUGCAAGGGGGCGGGGCUUCUUCCCCCCAAAUGCUCGCUCUCCCGCCGACAUGCGCGCUAAAGUGUGUCAAGAUGGUGCCUCCCCGCGGCUGGCCUUAUGGGACUUGUAGUUUUGAGGUUGCACGUACUCAGAAGAAGUGAAGGGGGAGCUCGCUCACGAGCUGGGAAAGAAAUGUUUUAAAUAACGAAAACUUCCUAAGGCCUAGAGCGACCCAGGCCCCCCUCUUCCGUUUCCCCACCUCCCAAUAUACUUAUGAGGCUAAGAAGAAGAUCCUUCGAUUUUGGAGGGCCUUCCUACGGAAGAGAGAACGGAUUUGUUUGAAUUGGCCCCGGAGGGAACGGCGGAGUUGAAAGGAUUCCGGCCUCCAGCUUCGGGAGCUACCGCAUCUGUUCUGUCGCCCAGAGAGAAGUCUAGCUAAAGCCAGAGAGGGGCUCCUUCAUCUUGUCUAUGGCUCGUUGGGAAGUUAUGGGUAACAGGUUCUAGGGGGGAACCCCCAGCCCUGGCCGAACCGGUGAUGGCUCCAACAGCUUCCCAACCAGCAGGAGGCAUCCUCCGAGCCCAGCUUUGGUCGUCAAGCCCCCUGUCUGCCAUUUGCAUAUUUUCACAUAAGAAAAUGAUGUCACUUCCGGGCCCAGCUUUGGUCGCCAAGCCCUCCGUCUGUCAUUUGCAUAUUUUCGCAUAAGAAAAUGAUGUCACUUCCGGGCCCAGCUUUGGCUCGCCAAGCCCUCUCUCUGUCAUUUGCAUAUUUUCGCAUAACAAAAUGAUGUCACUUCCGGGCCCAGCUUUGGUCGCCAAGCCCUCUCUCUGUCAUUUGCAUAUUUUCGCAUAACAAAAUGAUGUCACUUCUGGGCCCACCAUUUCUGUGAGAUCUGACCUUAACGUAAUGGUUCCUGCCUGAGCUGGGAAUGCUUGAGAAUACCAUAUUGAAGGAAUGUCUUGCUCAA